rnacentral:lncRNA from 1 species
GGUAGGUGGAGAUCUUCUCCUUGCAAGAAUAAAAACAGAAGGCUUUUACUUUCUCUGUUAGUAAGUUUCAGAAUUUUUGGGUCUAAUCUGAGUUUUAUUGAAGCUUUCUGUAUAGGUGAGAGAUGAGUUUCUAUAGAGAACUUGCGAAUAGGGCUGUGGAGACUGAUAUGCCGGUCAUGGUUCAGUUUUGGUGUGAGUUUUAA